rnacentral:rRNA from 1 species
AGAGUUUGAUCCUGGCUCAGAAUCAACGCUGGCGGCGCGCUUAACACAUGCAAGUCGAGCGAGAAAGUGGAGCAAUCCAUGAGUACAGCGGCGUACGGGUGAGUAACACGUGGAUCAUCUACCUUCGAGUGGGGGAUAACCCUGGGAAACCGGGGCUAAUACCGCCUAAGCCUGAGAAGGGAAAGCUUCUGUUUAAAAGAUGGGGGCGCUGGAAGAGGAGUCCGCGGCCGAUUAGCUAGUUGGUGAGGUAACGGCCCACCAAGGCGACGAUCGGUAGCCGGCCUGAGAGGGCACACGGCCACACUGGCACUGAAACACGGGCCAGACUCCUACGGGAGGCAGCAGUGGGGAAUAUUGCACAAUGGAGGCAACUCUGAUGCAGCGACGCCGCGUGAGCGAUGAAGCCCUUCGGGGUGUAAAGCUCUUUCGGCAGGAACGAUAAUGACGGUACCUGAAGAAGAAGCUGCGGCUAACUACGUGCCAGCAGCCGCGGUAAUACGUAGGCAGCAAGCGUUGUUCGGAAUUACUGGGCGUAAAGAGUGUGUAGGCGGUGCUCUAAGUUCGGUGUGAAAUCUCCUGGCUUAACUGGGAGGGUGCGCCGGAAACUGGAGUGCUCGAGCGUGGGAGAGGAAAGCGGAAUUCCUGGUGUAGCGGUGAAAUGCGUAGAUAUCAGGAGGAACACCUGCGGUGUAGACGGCUUUCUGGACCAUUGCUGACGCUGAGACACGAAAGCGUGGGUAGCAAACAGGAUUAGAUACCCUGGUAGUCC